GUGGAAGUGUAAAUUGUUUCUGCUGUUUAUAAUGCUAAGUUUACUAGUUUUUGGAGGCUGUCGACUGAGGCUAACUAUUUUUGUUGAGUUGUUUCAGAUCUAAGACUCUGGCAAUUGCUGCUGCAUCAUUUCGCUAAUACUUUGUGUCAAUUGUGUGUGUAUGUUAAGUAUUUGAGUGUAUAUGUUUAUCAUGAGCGAAUAUGCGUGUGUAGGUUGUUGAAAUUUGUCAUAUUGAUAUUGUCAGUUGUUGUAUGAUGGAGUAUCUGCCAUUCUAAUUUUAUUAAUAACAAUAAUUGAAUAUUCUAAAGGUAGAAUAAAAUGUAGUAGAUUUUGAUAUGAA